GACGAACGCUGGCGGCGUGCUUAACACAUGCAAGUCGAACGGAAACGCCCUGCUUUUGUGGGGUGCUCGAGUGGCGAACGGGUGAGUAACACGUGAGUAACCUGCCCUUGACUUUGGGAUAACUUCAGGAAACUGGGGCUAAUACCGGAUAGGAGCUCCUGCUGCAUGGUGGGGGUUGGAACGUUUCGGCGGUUGGGGAUGGACUCGCGGCUUAUCAGCUUGUUGGUGGGGUAGUGGCUUACCAAGGCUUUGACGGGUCGCCGGCCUGAGAGGGUGACCGGCCACAUUAGGACUGAGAUACGGCCCAGACUCCUACGGGAGGCAACAGUGGGGAGUAUUGCACAAUGGGCGGAAGCCUGAUGCAGCAACGCCGCGUGCGGGAUGACGGCCUGCGGGUUGUAAACCGCAUUCGCCUGUGACGAAGCGUGAGUGACGGUAAUGGGUAAAGAAGCACCGGCUAACUACGUG
rnacentral:rRNA from 1 species